CACAAAUUGCCAGCUGUGAGUGACAGGGGCUCCUGGCUCAUUGCUCUGGGUCUGCAGAGCUAGCAGCCACUGAGGUUGCCUCUGGCCUCUGCAGUCGCCUUGUGGCUGACUUUCAAGCAAUUGAAAAGGCCUCGCCAUUGCAAGAGCAAGCAGCACUGAGCUGGGGAUGGGGAGAGAACUCCAUCAUGCCUCAGGAGGAAGGAAAGUUUUGCUGCAGCACAGAACUUCUGCUGUGUGCUUGGCUCCCUGCUGACCCAGCUAAUGUUCCAACUUUCAAAGAAUCAGGUAGGAGUCUGACAGGCUCACCGAGAACAGAGAGGAGUCAAAUUUUCCCGGAGAAUCUUGCAAGCAAUGGAAAAGAGAAACUCACCUUGUAGACUGAGAACACUGAGGCCAGAGAGGUUAGAAGACCAACCCAGGGCCACAUCGCCCCUGUCUGGACUUGAAAUGAGAUCAGAUCAACAGUGACUGACUCUUCCAUCGAAGCAGCUGGAAAUGGAAGAAUUCUGAACUUCCAGGUUAAAUGAACACAGAACCAAUUUGAAACAUCCAAUCUGUCUUUUCAUGGCUGACAUGGCUCCUUGUACCCGCCAGGGACACAGAGAAACAGAACGCUGUAAGUCAACAGGGCCUCUCUUUCCCGGUCACUGAGAAAGAAUGUCUGCCCUACUGUGUUGUGAGAAUUAAAUACCAUGGAGGAUGGACAAGAGUUUUGAACAUCAGGAGCAGUGUGAAUGAAGAUCAGGAGCCCAGUGUUCCUGCCCUCUUUCAUCUCUCUGGGAUAAGCACUGCCUGGCACUCAGCCCCCUCCUAACCCCAGUCUUCCAGAAUCCCUUUGCCAUUAGUAUUCCCACCCUGUUCAAAUCUUUUUUGACUUUUCCUGCUCUCCGAUGCAAUCCUAAGUCUCCCAAGGAUGAGCCUGCACCUAUCACUCACUAUAUAAUCAAAGUCGCAUUCCCUGCCCUGGGGAUAUGCUGGCUUUCUGUGGCCAUCACCUCAUCCUACAUGUGCAGCUCAAGGGGGGCGGGGAGCUGGAAACUAGCCUGUGACUUUGCCCCAGAAGUUUGAAUCAGCUUAGUUCCAAGCCAAGUUCUUAGUCUCACACAGACAGGCUGGUGGUCACCUCUCCUUCAUGCAUGCACUUUCUAAAUUAAUUUUCAUUUCUGUUUUAUUCUCUCCUCACACUAUAGGAGAAACAGCACAAGAAUUCAUGACCCAGCUCCCAAUGCCUCUUAGACCUUACUGUGUAGGCAUUUUCCUGUAUCCUGGGAGUCACUCCCAAAUAACCACAAGAGACUUAAUAUAAAUUAUAAAUGCUGGGCUGAUAGCUCAGGCUUAUUACUAACUAGCUCUUAUAACUUAAAUUAACCCAUUUCUAUUAAUCUAUGUAUUGACACUUGACUCGAGGCUUUACCUGUGCUCCUGCACGUCUUAUCCCCUCUGUGUCUCCUGGUGACUCCACUAAUUCCGCCCUCUUUCCCAUCAUUCUGUUUGGCUUUCCACCUAACUCUAUCCUUUUCAGCUAUUGACCAGCCAGCUUCUUUAUUAAACCAAUCGUAGCGACAUAUAUUCACACAGUGUAAAGGAAUAUUUAGAGUGUAGACAGCCUGGGGCCUUGCUUCCCUCCAAACUGGGGAAAAUGCACAGAUUCCCAUGAGUGAGUCCCAGUCUCUGCCCUGAUUUCUACACCUCUUCUUUCUACUUCAUGCCAAGCCUGGCCUUCCAAAUAAGUGAGACUGUGCAGACCCUGGAAAGAAGGCUUCUUGUUUGCCCAACAAUGUGAAUGAUCUUUGGGAAGCCGCUGCCUGCAGCCACACUCUGUGCCCUCGAAACUUGAGUUUCCAGCUUCCUUCCAAAAUCACCCCCAAUGGAGGCUGCCAGGCCCCUUCGCAUUUUAUAAAUUAUAUAAAAUAGGGUUGCUGAGUCUUCAGCCUACACUUCCCCAGGAAGAGGCAGCACUCACCCGCCCCCACCCCAUGUCAACUCUAACAUGACUAGGGUGGUUCUGGUGUCAGUGGCUGAUUCCUCAAACACUAAUGUACAUUGCUCAUGCGAGUUCAUCUCAGCAGAGACGCCCUGAACAGGGUCUUUCUGUCUCCUCUGAGUGCGUGAGGCUGCCAUGGGUUCCACUUGGCAUAGAGGUUCCUUCUCUGGGUGUGUCAGCAAGCUCACACUCUGCCCAUGGUUGCCCUCCAUCACUGCCCACAACAUUCCUCUUCACUUCAAACAGCCAGACUGUGAUGGGCCACAGGAAGGCUGGUCAAGUCAGAGCCUUGAGACCUGGCACUGGGCCUCAUGACUGACAUCUGUUGGGUGGGCUCGUCCCCUCUCUGAGGCUCUGCUUUCUCAGCUGGAAACUUCCCUCCGUGGGUUGUGAGCAGGAGAUGAAACAACACCAGCGAAGCAGCUCCUAAGCGGCAAGGAGGAUGCUCUUCUGAUCAGUG